UAGUCAUAAUAAGUUACAAACUAGAUUUUGACCCGCGCUUUGAAAGCGCGGGAUUUGUUUUCAAAAUGCGGAGAUUUGUUUUUGUUAACAUAUCAAAACAUAUAUACUGCGGUUGUAUUUUAUAGGAAACAAAAUUGUAAGAUUCCCAAUACCCGGGUUAUAUUUCGAGAUACAUGAUUGAGAAAAUUGUUCUUAUUUUUUACUUAGUACAACAUAUCAUAGGCAUGGGCACUCGGGUCCUUGGAUCGGGUUUGGACCGGGUCUUGUCGGUUCGGAUCCUUCGGGUUUUGGAAAUCUAGAUCCUUAUAGAUAUCUAUAAUUUUUUGAGUCGGUUACGGGUCGAGUCUUGUCGGAUCCGGAUCAGUUCGGAUCUACAAUUCUAAUACCCGUAAAAUACCUACAGUUUUUGAGUAUAUUUCGGAUUUGGGUUGGUUCAGAUAUUUAGGAACCGAAAUACCCGGACUGGACCCGACAACUCGAAAUAUACCGAAAACUCUAAAAAUAUCCAAAGAACCGCAAAAAUACAUGAAAAUUUAUCCAAAAUCAGACCCGAAAACCCAAAAGAUACCCAAAAUUUUAACUGAGUACCCGAAUUAUAUUUUUUGAAAAUCUAAUUUUACCCGAAAAAUAAAAUUAUGCCCAAAAACCGAAUCUGAAACUUUAAGGAAUAUCCAAAAUAUAAAAAUAUACCCAAUCACUUAAAUAUAUCUGAUACACACAAUAAUAUUUGGGUACUUGGGUAGCCGAUCGAGUCUCGGAUAGGACCCGUACACGAACCGAGAUCCGCAGUUAUAAGAAAAAAGAUCCAACAUAUACUUUAACAUGAAUCCGGACCCAGACCCGAACCUGUAUUUUUGGAUCGGUUCUGAUUCAGAUCUUUCAAUCCGAGUAAAAUGUCCAUACCUAACAAAUCCAUCUAAUUCAACAGUAUAGAUUUUAUAUUGUUAAAUAAAACACAAAGAUAAAUUAUGAUUUUUUUAUGUUUCAAAUUUUAAAUUAUGCAUAAAUAUAAUCGUACACAUAUAAUAUUUAUGUUUAAGUGUAACUUAGAAACACAAUAUGAUUAUUAUUCUUUUGCUAGAUAUAGGAUAACAUAUUUUUAUCUUAGCCAUUAAAUUUUAAAAAAUAAAUUGUAAUGUUAUUUGUAGUAAUAGAUACAGUAUAACCUCUUUAAUAUUAAUACUCUAUAAAUUAAUAUACACUAAAAAUUUCUAUAAAAUAAUAUAAUUUUAUAGUCCCAAGUUGAGUUUUUGGUUCAAUUAGUAUAUCGAUAAAUUAAUAUCUCUAUAAAUUAAUAUCUCUAUAAAUUAAUAAAAAAAAUUAUAGUUUUGGUGUAGUUCAACAUUAUCAAUUUAUAGAGGUUUCAUUGUACUUUAUAAUAAUGUUUAUAAUUUUCAAUUAAAUUUUUAAUUACUUAUAUAAUUUAGAUUGGACUUUUUAAUGGGCCAAACCAAAAAUUUAUUAUAAUUUUGAAUACAAAUUAUCAAGAUGGGUUGUAUUUUGAAUACAAAAUGUUUAGCAAAGCCAGAAUUUUCAAAAUAGGCUCAAGCCCAGUCCAUGGUUUUGUUAUUUUCCAAUAGAGUCCAAGUAUUUUUUGUCAUGUUUCAGACAAAAUCUAGGUUUCUAAACAAAAAUAAACUCAAAUGGCGACUGAAGCAGAAGAAUCGGGUAUUCCACAAUUUGACUAAGCAUCAUUUCCAAGGUUUGCUCUUUUCCUGUAUUUUCAUUAUCGUUGAUAGAUAGUUGAACUCCAUGAUUCUACUAACCAAUUUAUUUUUUUGUUUUUAAUUUCUUUUGCAUGUACUGUCCCAUGGCUUAAAUGGAAUAGAUCCGAUGAAUUUGAAGCCAAUCUGAGGCAUUCAUAGAAAGAUUUUGGUGAGGUCAUUCAAUUAGGUAUUCAAUGAGAAAGUCUCCAAAGGUGUUCGACAAAAGAAAACAAAAAAUAUUCUCUCUCACCUGUCGGUUCCUUUGUCGCAAAGAGAAGAAGAUGGCUAUCUCCGACAGAAGGACUUAAUCCAAUCCUUAAUGGUAUUACAAAAUGUUGUCAUCCACGCUGGUGCACAACAAACAAUCAUUUUAAGAUAAGUGUUCGGAUGAAUACCAUCAUACUAUUUAAUAUCCAUUCAUUGUUAGGAAAACAAAUAAGGAGAUUAGGAUAAUACCAUCUUAUGAUUUUUUUUAAAGAUUAUAUACGUAAGGAAAACAAAUAAGGAGAUUAGGAUAAUACUGUGAUGGCAUGAAACUGUAUCUAACGUAAAUCAGGUAUGCAUGAUUUUGGCUUCAAUAAACCAAGUUGUUUUCAUGGCCUAAUCUCAUCAAGCUUGCAGAAUCCAAUAUUCGAGAGGGAAACCUUCAAACUUUAAUCGUUGAAGCUUCAGUGUCGAUGGAACAUCAUUAUCAAUAUACAAAGAUUUGGUAAAUGUACUGUGUAAGAAAUGAAAAUCAGUGUGUUAUAGCAAUUGAGUUUUUUAAAUUAUGUUCCAUCGUUUAAUAUGUAGAUGAAGCAUCGUCUAUUUUUUU